rnacentral:rRNA from 1 species
GGCCCUACGGGGGGCAGCAGUGAGGAAUAUUGGUCAAUGGGCGGGAGCCUGAACCAGCCAAGCCGCGUGAAGGAAGAAGGCGCCAAGCGUCGUAAACUUCUUUUGUCGGGGAACAAAGGGCGCCACGUGUGGCGUUGUGAGUGUACCCGAAGAAAAAGCAUCGGCUAACUCCGUGUCAGCAGCCGCGGUAAUACGGAGGAUGCGAGCGUUAUCCGGAUUUAUUGGGUUUAAAGGGUGCGCAGGCGGAAGAUCAAGUCAGCGGUAAAAUUGAGAGGCUCAACCUCUUCGAGCCGUUGAACCUGGUU